UACGUAGGUGACAAGCGUUGUCCGGAUUUACUGGGCGUAAAGAGCGCGCAGGCGGUCGGAUAAGUCGAAUGUGAAAGCCCCCGGCUCAACUGGGGAGGGUCAUUCGAUACUGUUCGACUCGAAGGCAGGAGAGGGAAGUGGAAUUCCCGGUGUAGUGGUGAAAUGCGUAGAUAUCGGGAGGAACACCAGUGGCGAAGGCGACUUCCUGGCCUGUUCUUGACGCUGAGGCGCGAAAGCUAGGGGAGCAAACGGG
rnacentral:rRNA from 1 species